UUGAGCACGCCACCCCGAAAUCAAUGUGAAAUACCCUGCCAUUUGCAACAGUAGGCAACCUGUCCUUUAAAAGUAUGGGUCCUCAAAACAGCACUUGUUGCACAAAUAAGUGUAGAUGGCCUCUUCAAGAAAUUGAAAUUAUGUAUGGUCACUUUUUCUUAUUGUUUCACGUGGAGGUCUACUGACCUUGUCUAAAUAAUGUAGGCUAGUUUAUGUCCAUGUAUUAUAUUAGGACCCAAGGUUAAUGGGUUAUUCUAUUUACCAUGUUUUUACAGGCUGCUGUCUCAUAUGGCGAAGACGAGUCACCUGAAGGCCUAACUCGCCAUAGAAGACUGAAAGAAUUGUCCUGCAGGAUGCUGUGUCCUGCAAUCCUGUGUGCUGUGCUACAGACGCGUGUGGAGGUCAACCCAAAAUGGGCUCAGUCUCACCACAGAAGAGUGAAAGAGGAUCCUGGCAGGGAGACGGUAGUGUCCUGCAGAAUGGUGAUGGGCCAAUCUUACAAGAGACCACAGAAAACUGAUAUAGUGAACUAUAGAAACAACAGUGCCUGCUGCAGUAUAACGAGGACACCCUGAGCAGAGGGCUCCAAUAGACCCAGGUCCAGUGUCUUGGCAGGGUGAAAUGGCACUGAUAUGGUGUCCUGCAGGAUGCUGUGCCCUGCAAUCCUGUGUGCUGUGCUACAGACGCGUGUGGAGGUCAACCCAAAAUGGGCACAGUCUCACCACAGAAGAGUGAAAGAGGCUCCCAGAAGUGAGACUGAGUGCCUGUUGCAGUAUGACGAGGACGCAGUGACCAGAGACCUUCAGUAGACCCUGCUGGCAUGAUUGGCGUCUGAAGAACAUGAAAUCAACAGCAAUGUUUAUAAUGUUGUACAUACCUGUAUAGUCUGUAUUAAAAGGCAGUACCUGUA